UUAAAUUGAAGAGUUUGAUCAUGGCUCAGAUUGAACGCUGGCGGCAGGCCUAACACAUGCAAGUCGAACGGUAACAGGAAGCAGCUUGCUGCUUUGCUGACGAGUGGCGGACGGGUGAGUAAUGUCUGGGAAACUGCCUGAUGGAGGGGGAUAACUACUGGAAACGGUGGCUAAUACCGCAUAACGUCGCAAG
rnacentral:rRNA from 2 species